UCCAAUGCCUGCUCGCACUCAUACAU
rnacentral:misc_RNA from 1 species